rnacentral:misc_RNA from 1 species
GAUGAAGAACGUAGCGAAAUGCGAUACGUAAUGUGAAUUGCAGAAUUCAGUGAAUCAUCGAGUCUUUGAACGCACAUUGCGCCCCCUGGUAGUCCGGGGGGCAUGCCUGUCCGAGCGUCAUUGCUGCCCUCAAGCACGGCUUGUGUGUUGGGCCUCCGUCCUCCUCCCGGGGGACGGGCCCGAAAGGCAGCGGCGGCACCGCGUCCGGUCCUCGAGCGUAUGGGGCUUCGUCACCCGCUCUUGUAGGCCCGGCCGGCGCUUGCCGACACAUCAAUCUUUUUUCCAGGUUGACCUCGGAUCAGGUAGGGAUACCCGCUGAACUUAAGCAUAUCAAUAAGCGGAGGA